rnacentral:pre_miRNA from 2 species
UCUUACGGAUGAGCAAAGAAAGUAGUUUCUUGAAAUGGAAUCCGCUCCUGGAGAAGAUGCUAUGAA